GAUUGAACGCUGGCGGCAGGCCUAACACAUGCAAGUCGAGCGGAUGAGGGGUGCUUGCACCUCGAUUCAGCGGCGGACGGGUGAGUAAUGCCUAGGAAUCUGCCUGUUAGUGGGGGAUAACGCGGGGAAACUCGCGCUAAUACCGCAUACGUCCUACGGGAGAAAGUGGGGGACCCUCGGGCCUCACGCUAACAGAUGAGCCUAGGUCGGAUUAGCUAGUUGGUGGGGUAAAGGCCCACCAAGGCGACGAUCCGUAACUGGUCUGAGAGGAUGAUCAGUCACACUGGAACUGAGACACGGUCCAGACUCCUACGGGAGGCAGCAGUGGGGAAUAUUGGACAAUGGGCGAAAGCCUGAUCCAGCCAUGCCGCGUGUGUGAAGAAGGUCUUCGGAUUGUAAAGCACUUUAAGUUGGGAGGAAGGGCGCUCGGUGAAUACCCAGGCGUCUUGACGUUACCGACAGAAUAAGCACCGGCUAACUUCGUGCCAGCAGCCGCGGUAAUACGAAGGGUGCAAGCGUUAAUCGGAAUUACUGGGGUAAAGCGCGCGUAGGUGGUUCGGCAAGUUGGAUGUGAAAGCCCCGGGCUCAACCUGGGAACCGCAUCCAAAACUACUGGGCUAGAGUACGGUAGAGGGUGGUGGAAUUUCCUGUGUAGCGGUGAAAUGCGUAGAUAUAGGAAGGAACACCAGUGGCGAAGGCGACCACCUGGACCGAUACUGACACUGAGGUGCGAAAGCGUGGGGAGCAAACAGGAUUAGAUACCCUGGUAGUCCACGCCGUAAACGAUGUCGACUAGCCGUUGGGCUCCUUGAGAGCUUAGUGGCGCAGCUAA
rnacentral:rRNA from 1 species